UUAGUUUAAGAAACAAUGUGUUAGUUUAGUAAGAGGAAUCCAUAAGUAAUAGUUACUAAGUUGUUCAUUUCAGCUUCAGUGGGUGAACAGUCCUGUUUUACUUCAGUUUUGCACUGGGGACACCAUAGAGUACUUCUAUCUUCUGCCUCAAAAAAUGCAAGGACAUUUUCCUGGAAAAAGACUGAAUGUUAGCCUGGUGCCAACUGUGAGGAGUACAGGAAUGCUGAUUUCAAAUACCUGAGUGGGAAUGGAGCUUGCUGGACCCCACGGCCACCCUGUAAGUAGGAGCUGCUGCAGAAGAAAGAAGGAGCAGCAUGUGGAAGUGUGUGAUGUGGGGCCUGAAAGAGAGAACUGGCAGUCUUAUAACAUUAGCUGUUGCUGUGUGGUGUUUCAAGAUAUUCUUGCCUUUUUUUAAUAACUCUUUCCAGCUCUGUACAGCCUUCUACCUUUUUCUUUAUUAAAUGUGUUUUAGUCUCUGUUUGUUAUUUCCC
rnacentral:lncRNA from 1 species